UACGAAGGGGGCUAGCGUUGUUCGGAAUCACUGGGCGUAAAGCGCUCGUAGGCGGAUCUUUAAGUCAGAGGUGAAAUCCCAAGGCUCAACCUUGGAACUGCCUUUGAUACUGGGAUCUCGAGUCCGGGAGAGGUGAGUGGAACUGCGAGUGUAGAGUGAAUCGUAGAUAUUCGCAAGAACACCAGUGGCGAAGCGGCUCACUGGCCGGUACUGACGCUGAGAGCGAAAGCGUGGAGCAACAGG
rnacentral:rRNA from 1 species